CUAAGUUUGAUGGCGACCGGCGCACGGGUGAGUAACACGUAUCCAACCUGCCGAUGACUCGGGGGAUAGCCUUUCGAAAGAAAGAUUAAUACCCGAUGGCAUAGUUCUUCCGCAUGGUAGAACUAUUAAAGGAUUUCGGUCAUCGAUGGGGAUGCGUUCCAUUAGGUUGUUGGCGGGGUAACGGCCCACCAAGCCUUCGAUGGAUAGGGGUUCUGAGAGGAAGGUCCCCCACAUUGGAACUGAGACACGGUCCAAACUCCUACGGGAGGCAGCAUG
rnacentral:rRNA from 1 species